CCUACGGGGGGCUGCAGUGGGGAAUAUUGGACAAUGGGGGCAACCCUGAUCCAGCCAUGCCGCGUGUGUGAAGAAGGCCCUCGGGUUGUAAAGCACUUUCAGUGAGGAAGAACGCCUGGUGGUUAAUACCCAUCAGGAAAGACAUCACUCACAGAAGAAGCACCGGCUAACUCCGUGCCAGCAGCCGCGGUAAUACGGAGGGUGCGAGCGUUAAUCGGAAUUACUGGGCGUAAAGCGCGCGUAGGUGGCUUGAUAAGCCGGUUGUGAAAGCCCCGGGCUCAACCUGGGAACGGCAUCCGGAACUGUCAAGCUAGAGUGCAGGAGAGGAAGGUAGAAGUCCCGGUGUAGCGGUGAAAUGCGUAGAGAUCGGGAGGAAUACCAGUGGCGAAGGCGGCCUUCUGGACUGACACUGACACUGAGGUGCGAAAGCGUGGGUAGCAAACAGGAUUAGAUACCCUAGUAGUC
rnacentral:rRNA from 1 species